rnacentral:rRNA from 1 species
UACGUAGGUGGCAAGCGUUGUCCGGAUUUACUGGGCGUAAAGGGCGUGCAGGCGGUCUGUUAAGUUCAGGGUGAAAGCUCCCGGCUCAACUGGGAGAGGUCCUUGGAUACUGGCAGACUUGAGGGAGGUAGAGGAGAGUGGAAUUCCCGGUGUAGUGGUGAUAUGCGUAGAUAUCGGGAGGAACACCAGUGGCGAAGGCGGCUCUCUGGGCCUUUCCUGACGCUGAGGAGCGAAAGCGUGGGGAGCGAACAGG